rnacentral:pre_miRNA from 1 species
AGAGUGUAUUUGAGCCAAGGAUGACUUGCCGGCAGCAUGUACCGCAAAUGUAGACUCCCUUCUCAUUUGGGUGAUGUCGGCGAGUAGUCAUGGCUCACUUUUGCUCUCU